UUUACUCAAAUCAAAGUUAAGUACAGAGUUUAUUUUUAACAAAUGUCAUAGCUAUGUCACCUUACUACAGAAUCCAGCAGUCAGAAAAUAACACAAAAAAUGCCGAGGUUUGGCGUAGCUGGUAGCUGGGGACAGUGUCUUCGUUUGAUUACUGCCAGUUAUUUCCAGCAUGCUAAAUCCCUACCCACGUUCCAGCCUCUAGGUGAGUCAGUGCGUCACUCUGUCUCCCGUCCAAUUAAUU
rnacentral:lncRNA from 1 species